ACUGCUCAGUAACACGUGGACAACCUGCCCUUAGGUUGGGUAUAAACCCGGGAAACUGGGUAUAAUACCCGAUAGGUCUCGAUUGCUGGAAUGCAUCGAGAUUUAAAGCUCCGGCGCCUAAGGAUGGGUCUGCGGCCUAUCAGGUAGUAGUGGGUGUAGCGUACCUACUAGCCUACGACGGGUACGGGUUGUGAGAGCAAGAGCCCGGAGAUGGAUUCUGAGACACGAAUCCAGGCCCUACGGGGUGCAGCAGGCGCGAAAACUUUACAAUGCUGGCAACAGCGAUAAGGGAACCUCGAGUGCCAGGUUACAAAUCUGGCUGUCGAGAUGCCUAAAAAGCAUUUCAUAGCAAGGGCCGGGCAAGACCGGUGCCAGCCGCCGCGGUAACACCGGCGGCUCGAGUGGUAACCGUUAUUAUUGGGUCUAAAGGGUCUGUAGCCGGCCGGAUAAGUCUCUUGAGAAACCUGGCAGCUUAACUGUCAGGCUUUCAGGAGAUACUGUCUGGCUCGAGGCCGGGAGAGGUGAGAGGUACUUCAGGGGUAGGGGUGAAAUCUUGUAAUCCUUGAAGGACCACCAGUGGCGAAGGCGUCUCACCAGAACGGACCUGACGGCAAGGGACGAAAGCUAGGGGCACGAACCGGAUUAGAUACCCGGGUAGUCCUAGCCGUAAACGAUACUCGCUAGGUGUCGGCCACGGUGCGACCGUUGUCGGUGCCGUAGGGAAGCCGUGAAGCGAGCCACCUGGGAAGUACGGCCGCAAGGCUGAAACUUAAAGGAAUUGGCGGGGGAGCAC
rnacentral:rRNA from 1 species